rnacentral:lncRNA from 1 species
ACAAAAGAAACCAACUUCUAAGACACUAUAUAAAGAACAUAAUACCAUUUUGGGAAGGAUAUAUCUUACUAUAUGCGUAAAAAUCAGUUGGUUAUGAAAUCCCAAUGUCAAAAAGUACCAACAACUCAAAGCGAGGAGAGACUAAGGGAAAUUUGGAAAAUGAAAACACGACUAAAUACCUGAUGUACUGAUAAGAAAGCUGGGCAGCAGCUUCUAAUGCCUCAUCGGUGUAACGGAGCUUGUGAUGAAUCUCAUAUCUCUCCCGAAGCCCUUUCAAGAUUUGUAUGGUUUCAUCCACAGUAGGUUCAGGGACUUUAACUGGCUGGAACCUCCUCUCCAACGCAGGAUCUUUCUCAAUGUGCUUUCUGUACUCAUCCAGGGUUGUGGCUCCAAUACACUGACAAAUGAAACCAAAUAAACUACUUCUCAGUUACACCAGCAGUAAAUAUUUUGUCACCGUUAACAGAUUUACCUUUCGACAUUAUUUUGCAGUUCUACCAGGAUCAAGAUAAUGAUUAAUCAUCAAAUUAAAAAGUGUAUUUCUAUUAAGUUUACAAGGAACACACUAGGUCUAGGAGGAUAACUAACCUGUAGUUCCCCUCUAGCUAAGGCAGGUUUCAAGAUGUUUGCAGCAUCAAUUGCCCCCUCUGCAGCUCCAGCUCCAAUCAAUGUGUGCACUUCAUCAAUAAAGAGUAUUAUUUCAUCACUUUGUUUAAUUUCUUCCAUUAGUUUCUUCAGUCUUUCCUCAAACUCUCCACGGUAUUUUGUCCCAGCAACAAGCAAACCCAUAUCUAGUGUUAUGACCUAAUCAUCACAAAUAGCAAGUCACAUAAGAAAAGGGAUUUACAAAUUAAAAGAAAAAUAAUACCACAUAUGACUGUACACUAGAUAUGGGUUUGCUUGUUGCUGGGACAAAAUACCGUGGAGAGUUUGAGGAAAGACUGAAGAAACUAAUGGAAGAAAUUAAACAAAGUGAUGAAAUAAUACUCUUUAUUGAUGAAGUGCACACAUUGAUUGGAGCUGGAGCUGCAGAGGGGGCAAUUGAUGCUGCAAACAUCUUGAAACCUGCCUUAGCUAGAGGGGAACUACAGGUUAGUUAUCCUCCUAGACCUAGUGUGUUCCUUGUAAACUUAAUAGAAAUACACUUUUUAAUUUGAUGAUUAAUCAUUAUCUUGAUCCUGGUAGAACUGCAAAAUAAUGUCGAAAGGUAAAUCUGUUAACGGUGACAAAAUAUUUACUGCUGGUGUAACUGAGAAGUAGUUUAUUUGGUUUCAUUUGUCAGUGUAUUGGAGCCACAACCCUGGAUGAGUACAGAAAGCACAUUGAGAAAGAUCCUGCGUUGGAGAGGAGGUUCCAGCCAGUUAAAGUCCCUGAACCUACUGUGGAUGAAACCAUACAAAUCUUGAAAGGGCUUCGGGAGAGAUAUGAGAUUCAUCACAAGCUCCGUUACACCGAUGAGGCAUUAGAAGCUGCUGCCCAGCUUUCUUAUCAGUACAUCAGGUAUUUAGUCGUGUUUUCAUUUUCCAAAUUUCCCUUAGUCUCUCCUCGCUUUGAGUUGUUGGUACUUUUUGACAUUGGGAUUUCAUAACCAACUGAUUUUUACGCAUAUAGUAAGAUAUAUCCUUCCCAAAAUGGUAUUAUGUUCUUUAUAUAGUGUCUUAGAAGUUGGUUUCUUUUGUAUCGACAUCUGAAUAAGCUUAUGCAUAUUUUUAUCUACUACUGAAAAUUGGCACAUUUAUCUCCACCAAAAUAUUUUUCCUUGAUUCCAUGAUAACUCAUUUAUGGUUGAGCACGCUUUUAACUUGAACCUUUGCUUGUUCCAGUGACCGUUUUCUGCCUGAUAAAGCAAUUGAUUUGAUUGAUGAAGCUGGUUCUCGUGUUAGACUUCGCCAUGCACAGGUAUAAAGUACUCUCUUAAUCUGCCUUUCCCAGCCCUCUUUUACUAAUGGAGUCAUGACCUGUUUUCUUGAUACGAUCUAGCUUCCUGAGGAAGCAAGAGAGCUCGAGAAAGAACUUCGUCAGAUUACAAAGGAGAAAAAUGAAGCCGUGCGUGGUCAAGAUUUUGAAAAGGUGAUUGGUUUUCUCUGAUUCUGUGCAUAAAAUUCCUGUGACCUGCUUUCUUCCUAAGUAAAAGCAUUGAACUGCUUUUGAUGCUAAAUAGUGUAAUUGCAGAGUUUGUAUUACAUAAUCUCGUAUCUUUCAAUACAUUUGACAGGCUGGGGAACUGCGUGAUAGAGAAAUGGAUCUUAAGGCACAGAUCUCAGCCCUGAUAGACAAAAACAAAGAGAUGAGCAAGGCUGAAUCUGAGGCUGGAGAUACAGGUCCCCUCGUUACAGAGGCAGAUAUUCAGCACAUUGUAUCUUCAUGGACUGGCAUCCCUGUUGAGAAGGUUUCUACAGAUGAGUCUGAUCGCCUCUUGAAAAUGGAAGAAACACUUCACACCAGAAUCAUUGGCCAGGAUGAAGCUGUUAAAGCCAUUAGUCGCGCUAUCCGACGUGCUCGUGUUGGGCUCAAGAAUCCCAACCGACCUAUUGCCAGUUUCAUCUUUUCUGGUCCAACUGGUGUUGGGAAAUCAGAACUGGCUAAGGCUUUAGCAGCAUACUACUUUGGUUCUGAAGAAGCAAUGAUCCGGCUUGAUAUGAGUGAGUUUAUGGAGAGACACACCGUCUCUAAACUCAUUGGUUCACCCCCUGGUUAUGUUGGUUACACUGAAGGUGGUCAACUGACUGAAGCUGUGACUGUUACUUGAAUACAAGGCCUAUGAAGUCUUCAUAUUUUAUAGAAAAAAAUAAUAGAAUUGUGCUGUGCGCGAUGCACUAAUACUUCAGCCAUUUAACGGAAAGUUAAUGAAACGUAGCAUUAGAGAAAUAUAUGUUCAUAACCUAUUUCCUUAUAUGCAUUCUACAAAGAUUGUGAUCUGAGCCAGACAUCAGGAAAAAGGUGCUGAAAACAAUGACAAAUUCGACUAUCACCUACCAUAAAUUAGAAGAUAUGGUUCUACAUAGUCUUCGUCGCAAUUUUACACUAUCUUGCGAGAUCACUAGAAUCUUAACGAAAUCCAGUAUGUAGCGUGUAAUCCUGAAAGCUCUGCAUAUAAUGGAGAUGCUACCCUUCUCAACUUGGCAGAUUUCAUCACCGGAUAACCCCAUAAAUUACUCACAAGUUGCUUCAUAACCCCAGGAGGGCUUAGUGGCCACGACAAAUGAAAGCAACAUUACAAACAACAAAUUUGCAGAGCUAAAGCAAGAAGCGGAUCUACACAGGGAUAGGCUCAGGAGCUGGAUCUGAGGGAGUUCCGCUAGUGCCAUUGAGGACGGUCACAUUGCCAUCAGAGUCCACGUCCACAAUUACUGAAUCACCUUCUUUGAUCUCACCUGCAAGCAUCUUCUCGGCCAUGCUGUCUUCCAGCAGUCUCAUAAUAGCUCUCCUCAACGGUCUUGCUCCGUAGCUUGGGUUGUACCCUUCGUCAACCACCCUGUCUCUAAACCUCUCUGUCACUUGAAGUUCUAUCUCCUUAUUUUUCAACCUCUCAAAGACCUCCUUAAGCAUGAUAUCAGCUAUCUCCUUCACCUCUAACUUAGUUAGCUGACGGAAUACAAUCAUCUCAUCCAAUCUGUUCAAGAACUCUGGCCUGAAGUACUGUUUCAACUCCUCAGUCACCAAGCUUUUGAUACGGUUGUAACUGCUAUCCUUCUCGUCAUAAUCUAGAUCAAAACCUAUACGACGGCCUCCUUUCUCUAUCACACUGCUUCCGACAUUCGAUGUCAUGAUGAGAAGUGUAUUCUUGAAGUCCACAGUUCUGCCCUUGCUGUCUGUCAAUCUUCCAUCUUCAAGAAUUUGAAGCAUCAUGUUGAAGACAUCAGGAUGAGCCUUCUCAAUCUCAUCAAAGAGCACAACAGUGUAAGGUCGACGCCUCACAGCUUCAGUCAGUUGACCACCUUCAGUGUAACCAACAUAACCAGGGGGUGAACCAAUGAGUUUAGAGACGGUGUGUCUCUCCAUAAACUCACUCAUAUCAAGCCGGAUCAUUGCUUCUUCAGAACCAAAGUAGUAUGCUGCUAAAGCCUUAGCCAGUUCUGAUUUCCCAACACCAGUUGGACCAGAAAAGAUGAAACUGGCAAUAGGUCGGUUGGGAUUCUUGAGCCCAACACGAGCACGUCGGAUAGCGCGACUAAUGGCUUUAACAGCUUCAUCCUGGCCAAUGAUUCUGGUGUGAAGUGUUUCUUCCAUUUUCAAGAGGCGAUCAGACUCAUCUGUAGAAACCUUCUCAACAGGGAUGCCAGUCCAUGAAGAUACAAUGUGCUGAAUAUCUGCCUCUGUAACGAGUGGACCUGUAUCUCCAGCCUCGGAUUCAGCCUUACUCAUCUCUUUGUUUUUGUCUAUCAGGGCUGAGAUCUGUGCCUUAAGAUCCAUUUCUCUAUCACGCAGUUCCCCAGCCUGUCAAAUGCAUUGAGAGAUACGAGAUUAUGUAAUGCAAACUCUGCAAUUACACUAUUUAGCAUGAAAAGCAGUUCAAUGCUUUUACUAAGGAAGAAAGCAGUUCACAGGAAUUUUAUGCACAGAAUCAGAGAAAACCAAUCACCUUUUCAAAAUCUUGACCGCGCACAGCUUCAUUUUUCUCCUUUGUAAUCUGACGAAGUUCUUUCUCGAGCUCUCUUGCUUCCUCAGGGAGCUAGAUCGUACCAAGAAAACGGGUCAUGCUCCAUUAGGAAAAGAGGACAGGGAAAGGUAGAUUAAGAGAGUACUUUAUACCUGUGCAUGGCGAAGUCUAACACGAGAACCAGCUUCAUCAAUCAAAUCAAUUGCUUUAUCAGGCAGAAAACGGUCACUGGAACAAGCAAAGGUUCAAGUUAAAAGCGUGCUCAACCAUAAAUGAGUUAUCAUGGAAUCAAGGAAAAAUAUUUUGGUGGAGAUAAAUGUGCCAAUUUUCAGUAGUAGAUAAAAAUAUGCAUAAGCUUAUUCAGAUGUCGAUACAAAAGAAACCAACUUCUAAGACACUAUAUAAAGAACAUAAUACCAUUUUGGGAAGGAUAUAUCUUACUAUAUGCGUAAAAAUCAGUUGGUUAUGAAAUCCCAAUGUCAAAAAGUACCAACAACUCAAAGCGAGGAGAGACUAAGGGAAAUUUGGAAAAUGAAAACACGACUAAAUACCUGAUGUACUGAUAAGAAAGCUGGGCAGCAGCUUCUAAUGCCUCAUCGGUGUAACGGAGCUUGUGAUGAAUCUCAUAUCUCUCCCGAAGCCCUUUCAAGAUUUGUAUGGUUUCAUCCACAGUAGGUUCAGGGACUUUAACUGGCUGGAACCUCCUCUCCAACGCAGGAUCUUUCUCAAUGUGCUUUCUGUACUCAUCCAGGGUUGUGGCUCCAAUACACUGACAAAUGAAACCAAAUAAACUACUUCUCAGUUACACCAGCAGUAAAUAUUUUGUCAUGUUAACAGAUUUACCUUUCGACAUUGUUUUGCAGUUCUACCAGGAUUAACUCAGGAUCAAGAUAAUGAUUAAUCAUCAAAUUAAAAAGUGUAUUUCUAGUUCUUGUUUAAAUUUACAAGGAACAUACUAGGUCUAGGAGGAUAACUAACCUGUAGUUCCCCUCUAGCUAGGGCAGGUUUCAAGAUAUUUGCAGCAUCAAUUGCCCCCUCUGCAGCUCCAGCUCCAAUCAAUGUGUGCACUUCAUCAAUAAAGAGUAUUAUUUCAUCACUUUGUUUAAUUUCUUCCAUU